rnacentral:misc_RNA from 1 species
GAGUCAGCUGGAGUUGGAAGAUGCAGUCCAAGAUGAUUUGAAGCGUGCAACUGGAGAAUUUGUCAAAGAUGAGACAGAUGCUAAUAAACUUAACCGGGUUCUGCAACUAACAGGAUUUAGCGACCCUGUUUAUGCGGAAGCAUAUGUAACAGUUCAUCAUUAUGAUAUUGUCCUGGAUGUGACAGUUAUUAAUAGAACUAAAGAGACCCUCCAGAAUUUAUGUUUGGAAUUGGCAACUAUGGGUGAUCUUAAACUUGUUGAGCGUCCACAAAAUUAUACACUUGCUCCC